rnacentral:rRNA from 1 species
UACAGAGGUCUCAAGCGUUGUUCGGAUUCAUUGGGCGUAAAGGGCGCGUAGGCGGCGGGGUAAGUCGGGUGUGAAAUCUCAGAGCUCAACUCUGAAACUGCACUCGAUACUGCUCUGCUUGAGGACUGGAGAGGAGACUGGAAUUCACGGUGUAGCAGUGAAAUGCGUAGAUAUCGUGAGGAAGACCAGUGGCGAAGGCGGGUCUCUGGACAGUUCCUGACGCUGAGGCGCGAAAGGCCAGGGGAGCAACGGG